UACGUAGGGGGGCAAGCGUUGUCCGGAUUUAUUGGGCGUAAAGAGCGUGUAGGCGGCUAGGUAGGUCCGUUGUGAAAACUCGAGGCUCAACCUCGAGACGUCGAUGGAAACCAUCUAGCUAGAGUCCGGAAGAGGAGAGUGGAAUUCCUGGUGUAGCGGUGAAAUGCGCAGAUAUCAGGAAGAACACCCGUGGCGAAGGCGGCUCUCUAGUACGGUACUGACGCUGAGACGCGAAAGCGUGGGGAGCGAACAGG
rnacentral:rRNA from 1 species